rnacentral:rRNA from 1 species
CCUACGGGUGGCAGCAGUAGGGAAUAUUGCUCAAUGGGGGAAACCCUGAAGCAGCAACGCCGCGUGGAGGAUGAAGGUUUUCGGAUUGUAAACUCCUUUUGUUAGAGAAGAUAAUGACGGUAUCUAACGAAUAAGCACCGGCUAACUCCGUGCCAGCAGCCGCGGUAAUACGGAGGGUGCAAGCGUUACUCGGAAUCACUGGGCGUAAAGAGCGCGUAGGCGGGCUAGCAAGUCAGAUGUGAAAGCCUAGGGCUUAACCAUAGAACUGCAUUUGAAACUGUUAGUCUAGAGUAUGGGAGAGGUAGGUGGAAUUCUUGGUGUAGGGGUAAAAUCCGUAGAGAUCAAGAGGAAUACUCAUUGCGAAGGCGACCUGCUAGAACAUAACUGACGCUGAUGCGCGAAAGCGUGGGGAGCAAACAGGAUUAGAUACCCGGGUAGUC